UACGUAGGGUGCAAGCGUUGUCCGGAAUUAUUGGGCGUAAAGAGCUUGUAGGCGGUUUUGUCGCGUCUGCUGUGAAAUUUCGGGGCUCAACCCCGAACUUGCAGUGGGUACGGGCAGACUAGAGUGUGGUAGGGGGAGACUGGAAUUCCUGGUGUAGCGGUGAAAAUGCGCAGAUAUCAGGAGGAACACCGAUGGCGAAGGCAGGUCUCUGGGCAUUAACUGACGCUGAGGAGCGAAAAGCAUGGGGGAGCGAACAGG
rnacentral:rRNA from 1 species